AUGGGCGCCCGGGAGGCGGUGCCGGUGGCCAAUGAGGGCGGCCGACGCGCAGGGGGCGGGGCAGAGGCGCUGCGAGGCGCGCACGGACCAGAGCGCAGCGCCGUCCGCUCCGCAGCGCCGCUCCCGCAGCGCCCGCACGCAGGCAAUCAUGAGUGAUCGAAAGGCAGUGAUCAAAAAUGCAGACAUGUCAGAGGAGAUGCAGCAAGACUCGGUGGAAUGUGCAACUCAAGCCUUGGAGAAAUACAACAUCGAGAAGGACAUCGCUGCUCACAUCAAGAAGGAAUUUGACAAGAAAUACAAUCCCACGUGGCACUGCAUCGUGGGCAGGAAUUUUGGCAGCUAUGUGACUCAUGAGACCAAGCACUUCAUCUACUUCUACCUCGGCCAAGUCGCUAUUCUUCUGUUCAAGUCUGGCUAGAGCCAUGGACUGUUACUGAAACUUGCACCUGGGCACAGGACUGCACACUGAUUCCCACCUUCAGCCUUCCUGGGGAAACACAUCUUGAUCUUCAGGUCUUGUAUUGUAUUGUUAAUGGUCAGGGAUUUUGCUGUAGCGGCUGGUAUUUUCAUUGUGGCUAUAUAAAAAAACAAAAAUGUCUUCCUUUUAUUUAUUUUCUUUCAAAAGAUGGCUUCUUUGCUAAUAAAAUAGUU